rnacentral:tRNA from 1 species
CGGGAUAGCUCANCUGGUAAAGCANAGGACUGAAAAUCCU